ensembl:snRNA U6 U6 spliceosomal RNA
GUGCACCUGUCAGCUGCACGUAUGCUAAAAUUGGAAGGAUACGGGGAUUAACAUGGCAUCUACACAAGAACCAUAUGCAGGUUCAUGAAGCAUUCCAUUUCAUU